rnacentral:lncRNA from 1 species
UCCAAUUUCAGAAUUUCUAUGUAAUGCUUUGUUAAUCCCAAAACUUUAUGAAAUUAUGGUAUAGCCUAAAAUGCUAUGACACUUUUCAAAUAAGUCCUUCUCCAAAAUUUCAAGCAAUACUUGUUUAUUUCAAAGUUUUCAAAAUUCUUUCAAUUAAACCAUAAACUUUGAAAAACAACCAAUUUCAUAAAAUCAUUUUUCCAUUAAAUAUGAAACAUUUAUAAUGUGAAAAUAAUGAUUUAUUUAAAAAGAAUAAAAACAAUCAAUUUCAUAAAAUCAAUUUUCCAUUAAAUAUAAAACAUUUAUAAUGUGAAAAUAAUGAUUUAUUUAAAAAGAAUAAAAACAAUCAAUUUCAUAAAAUCAAUUUUCCAUUAAAUAUAAAACAUUUAUAAUGUGAAAAUAAUGAUUUAUUUAAAAAGAAUAAAAACAAUCAAUUUCAUAAAAUCAAUUUUCCAUUAAAUAUAAAACAUUUAUAAUGUGAAAAUAAUGAUUUAUUUAAAAAGAAUAAAAACAAUCAAUUUCAUAAAAUCAUUUUUCCAUUAAAUAUAAAACCUUUAUAAUGUAAAAAUAAUGAUUUAUUUAAAAUGUAUAAAAAAUAAUUUGAGCUUAAAAGAUUUAUCAUUCUUAAUCUUGUUUGUUAUCAUCAAAAUCAACAUUAUAGAAACAUAUAUGUUAACAAUCUCCCCCUUUUUGAUGAUGACAAACAUUUCAUGUAUUUAAAGAAUGAUUCCACAAAUUGCUCCCCCUUCUUGUUUAUUAUCAUCAAAAACAAUAUUAUGGAAACAUAUAUGUUAACAGGUUUAAGUUAAGAUAGAGCCGCAAAAGGGCCUGUCUUAGUAGAUAAUAUUAGAGUAAUACUUGAUCUUAAUUUAAG